rnacentral:rRNA from 1 species
UACGGGGGGGGCAAGCGUUGUUCGGAAUUACUGGGCGUAAAGGGCGCGUAGGCGGCCGCCUAAGUCAGACGUGAAAUCCCUCGGCUCAACCGGGGAACUGCGUCUGAUACUGGGUGGCUUGAAUCCGGGAGAGGGAUGCGGAAUUCCAGGUGUAGCGGUGAAAUGCGUAGAUAUCUGGAGGAACACCGGUGGCGAAGGCGGCAUCCUGGACGGAUACUGACGCUGAGGCGCGAAAGCUAGGGGAGCAAACGGG